GACGAACGCUGGCGGCGUGCUUAACACAUGCAAGUCGAACGGUAAGGCCCUUCGGGGUACACGAGUGGCGAACGGGUGAGUAACACGUGGGUGAUCUGCCCUGCACUUCGGGAUAAGCCUGGGAAACUGGGUCUAAUACCGGAUAGGACCACUGCCUGCAUGGGUGGUGGUGGAAAGCUUUUGCGGUGUGGGAUGGGCCUCCGGCCUAUCAGCUUGUUGGUGGGGUGAUGGCCUACCAAGGCGACGACGGGUAGCCGGCCUGAGAGGGUGACCGGCCACACUGGGACUGAGAUACGGCCCAGACUCCUACGGGAGGCAGCAGUAGGGAAUUUUCCACAAUGGGCGAAAGCCUGAUGGAGCAGCGCCGCGUGCAGGAUGAAUGCCUUCGGGUUGUAAACUGCUUUUAUCUGUGACGAAUAUGACGGUAGCAGAUGAAUAAGGAUCGGCUAACUCCGUGCCAGCCGCCGCAGUAA
rnacentral:rRNA from 1 species